GCGUAGCUCAAUUGGAUAGAGCAGUGGUUUCCGGAACCAAAGGUUGAAGGUUCAAGUCCUUCCGUG
rnacentral:tRNA from 1 species